rnacentral:lncRNA from 1 species
ACCCCGUGUCCUGAUGUGUGUCACCAGGGGCGUCACCCUGUGUCACCCCGUGCCCCUGGUGUGUCACCCUUCUGUCACCUUGUGUCCCCCCUAUGCGUCACCUCAUGUCCCUGGUGUGUGUCACCGUUACAUCCCCUGUGUCACCCUGUGUCCCUGUUCUCUGUCACCCCCCGUGUCCCUGUUGUGUGUCACUACUACGUCACCCGUGUCACCCCCUGACCCUGGUGUGUGUCACUGUUAUGUCACCCAUGUCACCCUGUGUCCUUGGUGUGUGUCACCCUUUUGUCACCGUGCACCGUUGGUGUGUAUCACCCUUUUGUCACUCCGUGUCCUGUCAUGUGUCACCCUGUGUCACCCCGUGCCCCUGGUGUGUCACCCUUCUGUCACCCUGUGUCCCCGCUAUGUGUCACCUCAUGUCCCUGGUGUGUGUCACCAUUACAUCCCCUGUGUCACCCUUCUGUCACCCUUGUGUCACCCCAUGUCCCUGGUGCGUGUCACCCAUAUGUCACCCCGUGUUCUGACGUGUGUCACCCUGUGUCACCCCAUGCCCCUGGUGUGUCACCCUUCUGUCACCCCAUGUCCCUGACAUGUGUCACCCUUCUGUCACCCUGUGUCCCUGCUAUGUGUCACCUCAUGUCCCUGGUGUGUGUCACCGUUACAUCCCCUGUGUCACCCUGUGUCCCUGUUCUGUGUCACCCUUGUGUCACCCCUUGUUCCUGGUGUGCGUCACCCUUAUGUCACCCUGUGUCCCUGACGUGUGUCACCUUUCCAUCACCCCAUGUCCCUGGUGUGUGUCACUCCCUGUCACCCAGUGUCACCCCAUGUCCCUGGCGUGUGUCACCCCCUGUCACCCAGUGUCACCCCAUGUCCCUGGUGUGUGUCACCCCCUGUCACCCAGUGUCACCCCAUGUCCCUGGUGUGUGUCACCUCCUGUCACCCCAUGUCCCUGGUGUGUGUAACCCCAUGUCACCCCAUGUCCCUGGUGUGUGUCACCCCGUCACUCCGUGUCACCCCAUGUCCCUGGCGUGUGUCACCCCGUGUCACCCCAUGUCCCUGGUGUGUGUCACCCCGUCACCCUGUGUCACCCCAUGUCCCUGGUGUGUGUCACCCCAUGUCCCUGGUGUGUGUCACCCCCUGUCACCCUGUGUCCCUGGUGUGUGUCACCCCCUGUCACCCAGUGUCACCCCAUGCCCCUGUCAUGCAUCACCCCCUGUCACCCCAUGUCCCUGGUGUGUGUCACCCCGUGUCACCCCAUGUCCCUGGUGUGUGUCACCCC